ACGUAGGGGGCAAGCGUUAUCCGGAUUUACUGGGUGUAAAGGGAGCGUAGACGGUGAGGCAAGUCUGAUGUGAAAACCCGGGGCUCAACCCCGUGACUGCAUUGGAAACUGUUUUGCUUGAGUGCCGGAGAGGUAAGCGGAAUUCCUAGUGUAGCGGUGAAAUGCGUAGAUAUUAGGAGGAACACCAGUGGCGAAGGCGGCUUACUGGACGGCAACUGACGUUGAGGCUCGAAAGCGUGGGGAGCAAACAG
rnacentral:rRNA from 1 species